AUGGAUAGCUUAUUUGCUUCAUUGUAUAUACUUUGUAGUUUCAACGAUGAGGCAGAUAUGUCAACUAUGGGUGUUGGCUUCAACAAUUCACAUUGGUCUCAAACCAAUGACAUGCAUUUCGAUGACCAUGAGUUCCAGGUGGAUGGUGAGGGCAUUGUCGACGCACCGAAAGGAAGAGGAGGCAACUACACCAAUGAUGAAGACGUGUUGCUAUGCAAUACUUGGUUGCAAGUGUCGAGGGAUCCACCCGUUGGAGGUGAUCAAAGUAGAGAUGCAUAUUGGAGCCGGAUGAAGGAGCACGUUGAUCUACACAACAAGAGUGGAAUUGACCGCUCGGCACGAUCUCUUCGCUCCCGGUGGUCGACAAUCAACCGAGAUUGUCAAAAGUGGGCGGCCGCACAAAAGGCGGUUGACAGGUUGAACCCAAGUGGCACUAAUAAUAUAGAUAGGGUAAGUGUCAUUUCAUCCAUGUUCAUCAUGCUUGUUCUUGGUGUUUUUAGUGCUAACUUGUUUUAUUUUUUUGUAGUUCAAUAUUGCACAAAACUUGUUCAAAGGAGAGGAGGAGAAGAGCAAUAA
rnacentral:rRNA from 1 species